CGCCAGAGUAGUGUGCUUUUGGUGAGAUCUUGAAAAAAAGACAAGGAGGAACCCUCAAAGGUCAGAGGCGUUUUGUUUCUCAAGGCUGUCAUUAUUCGGGUUUUGUCUUGGAAGGUUAGGCAUCUAAGGAUGACGUCCCUUGCCACACCGGGUGUCAACUUGGCAGAGCUAUUGAUGCGAUGCACCCCAUCUAUGAUUAUCGUUUUAGCGGUAGCGUGAGGUAAUAUGGUGGAUAGUAACCUGCGGAGAUAGUGUGGGAGCUCCUCGGCUGUAACUUCAUCAGGGAUUCCACGUAUUUUUAUGUGAUUUCGGCGCUGUUUGUCUUCUAGGGCCGUGAGUUGCAGGGAGAAGUGUGAGUGAUG